UGGCUCAGUGGUUAAGAGCACUGGCUGUUCUUCCAGAGGUCCUGGGUUCAAUUCCCAG
rfam:Neotoma lepida isolate 417 scaffold_49, whole genome shotgun sequence.